rnacentral:rRNA from 1 species
UACGGAGGAUGCGAGCGUUAUCCGGAUUUACUGGGUGUAAAGGGAGCGUAGACGGCGAUGCAAGUCUGAAGUGAAAGGCGGGGGCUCAACCCCUGGACUGCUUUGGAAACUGUAUGGCUGGAGUGCAGGAGAGGUAAGUGGAAUUCCUAGUGUAGCGGUGAAAUGCGUAGAUAUCACGCAGAACCCCGAUUGCGAAGGCAGCAUGCCGGCUUCCUACUGACGCUGAAGCACGAAAGCGUGGGGAUCGAACAGG